GCCAGGCGUUGUGGCGGGCGCCUGUGGUCCCAGCUACUUGGGAGGCGGAGGCAGGAGACUCGCUUGAGCCCAGGAGUUGGAGGUUGCUGUGAGCUGUAAUGCCACGGCACUCUACCCAGGGGGACAGCUUGAGGCUCUGUCUCAAAAAAAAAAAAAAAAAAAAAAAAAGAGACAGAGUUUCACUUUAUUGCCGUCGGUAGAGUGCAGUGACAUCACAGCUCACAGCAGCCUCCAACUCCUGGGCUUAGGUGAUUCUCUUGC
rnacentral:sRNA from 1 species